ACGUGGGAAUAUACCCUUCAGUUUGGGACAACCAUUGGAAACGAUGGCUAAUACCAUAUACGCCCUUUUCAAUUGAUUUUGGAUAGGGGAAAGAUUUAUCGCUGAAGGAUUAGCCCGCGCUAGAUUAGCUAGUUGGUGAGGUAAGAGCUCACCAAGGCAACGAUCUAUAGCUGGUUUGAGAGGAUGAUCAGCCACACUGGGACUGAGACACGGCCCAGACUCCUACGGGAGGCAGCAGUGGGGAAUAUUGGACAAUGGGGGCAACCCUGAUCCAGCCAUGCCGCGUGAGUGAAGAAGGCC
rnacentral:rRNA from 1 species